AGAGUUUGAUCAUGGCUCAGAACGAACGCUGGCGGCGCGCCUAAUACAUGCAAGUCGAGCGAGAAGGUGUAGCAAUACACUUGUAAAGCGGCGAACGGGUGAGGAAUACAUGGGUAAUCUACCAUCGAGUGGGGAAUAACCAACCGAAAGGUUGGCUAAUACCGCGUACGCCUCCGAGUCUUCGGGUUCGGAGGGAAAGCUGCACUGUGAGUGUAGCGCUCUUUGAUGAGCUCAUGUCCUAUCAGCUUGUUGGUAGGGUAACGGCCUACCAAGGCUUUGACGGGUAGCUGGUCUGAGAGGACGAUCAGCCACACUGGCACUGCGACACGGGCCAGACUCCUACGGGAGGCAGCAGUAAGGAAUAUUGCGCAAUGGGCGAAAGCCUGACGCAGCGACGCCGCGUGGGGGAUGAAGGUCUUCGGAUUGUAAACCCCUUUCGGGAGGGAAGAUGGAGCGAGCAAUCGUUCGGACGGUACCUCCAGAAGCAGCCACGGCCAACUUCGUGCCAGCAGCCGCGGUAAUACGAAGGUGGCAAGCGUUGUUCGGAUUCACUGGGCGUACAGGGUGUGUAGGCGGUUUGGUAAGCCUUCUGUUAAAGCUUCGGGCCCAACCCGGAAAGCGCAGAGGGUACUGCCAGGCUAGAGGGUGGGAGAGGAGCGCGGAAUUCCCGGUGUAGCGGUGAAAUGCGUAGAGAUCGGGAGGAAGGCCGGUGGCGAGGGCGGCGCUCUGGAACAUACCUGACGCUGAGACACGAAAGCGUGGGGAGCAAACAGGAUUAGAUACCCUGGUAGUCCACGCCC
rnacentral:rRNA from 1 species